AUGCUAGACUCCUGGGAGGUUUGGAAACAGUGAAACGUGGGGGUGUUCCAGAAGAAAUCAUCAAUGCCUACCACGGUGCUAGAGGGCAUCAAGGUGGAGGCCAGAAAUUGGGUUUUGGCCGGGGCUAAACAUCUGGGAUCCUUGAUGCCGCGAGAGUAG
rnacentral:rRNA from 1 species